rnacentral:snRNA from 1 species
GUGCUUGCCUUUGGCAGCACGUAUACUAAAAUUGGAACUGUACAGAGGAGAUUAACAUGGCCCCUGCAUGAGGACGCCACCCAAAUUCAUGAAGCUUUCCAUAUUUAA